AGAAGCCCGAGAUUGCAAAGAGGGAGGGAAAACAGGCAGACCUCCCCGACCCGGGAGCUGAAGAACUGCCCCCAACAAAGUCUGACGUCGGACGCCCUGAUCUCAGCCGUCUUUGCGAGCUGCUGAGCUCCAGGGAGAGAAAUAUUUAAAACCGCACAGCCAGCAAGCGCCGGAGCUAGGAUUGAAAGCUAAGACUUGGGAUAAGUCCAGUCCUUCCACGGAGCGGAAACCAGGUCUGAGCUCCUCCUGCUUUUUAUCAGCAAAAGCAGCAACCCCUGUGGGUCCUCACUGCUGUCUCCAGACCCAGACCCUCAUUUGGUCUUCAUGGCAGAGAAUGCUUCUGGCCCCGUGGGACGGACUUAGGAGAUUUUGAGACCAAGAUCGUGAGCAGUGGGGAGGGGGAAG